UUAAAACUUAUGUACGUUUCUGCAUAUUCAAUUUAACUUUGACUAUAUUUGUUUAAAAAAAUAAUUUAUUCUACAUCACAUAUAUUAUGCUAAUUGUUUUUUUUUAAUUAUUUAGCAGCGGAUUGGUAAAUUUUAAAAUUAAGUAUAUUUUGGAGGAAAAUUCUAAGACAGAAAUCGGUGAUCAAAACACUAUUGAAAAGCAAAACUUGAAAGGACCUGUAAGCUCUGUAUUCGAAGAAACGUGACCUCCAAGCCAUCGGAGCUUCCAUGAUCUCGUUCCCAAACACGAUCAGGAUAUCUCGAGGCAUGGCAGAAUAAAGACCGACUAAAUAUUGAACAAACAGUCUUAUGGACAAGUUGUAAACUGCGGAACGCAUGCCCCAUCAGGUCGACCAACAAUUACUUCUUCAAGUGGAUCCCAUUCGUUGUGCGAGUUAACCGGUAUAGAGGGUUGCGGUAUCUCC